UACCAAAGUGGGGAUAGGGCUGGGAGAGGACGUGAAAUCUAGACCACUACAAAAGUAAUGGGGAGAAAAUUUCAUUUCCAGACUUCAAGAAAUAUACAAUACUGAGUAUUUCUCUAACCUCUCUAAGACAUCCUGGUGGACUUCAGCUUAUGGCUAGAGUAUGCAUGUGUCAACACCAGAAUAUCUUGUGGGUUAGCCAUACCUUGCCACUCAAAGACUGGUCUGAACCAGCCUCAGCAUCACCAGGCAGCUCCUUAGAGAUGCAGUCUCAUGCCCCACUCAGACCUACUGAAUCAGAAUCUGCAUUUUACAAGACCUCUGGUGAUUCACAAGCAAAUUCAAGUUCAAGAAGCACUGAUAAGUAAUUUCGUCAUUAGCAGCUGGAAGAAAUGUCAAGGACUGGGUCAACUUGAAUCUUGCUCAAGCCAUGUGCUCAGAACGAGUUUCCUGCGCUCGAAAUAGGUAAGUCUAAUCGGCAGAAUGGAUUAGAUCCUAAGGAAGCCAUUAUCAUGGAGUGUCAGUGAGUAAAAUUAACAUGUAUUUUUAAUAAGUCUGUAAUUACUUAUUCUACAAUAGACCAUAUGGUCUAUUCUCUUUCCAUGGACUCAAACACUUAAGCCCUCAAUACCAUUUAGUUUUAAACACACACACACACACACACACACACACACACACACACACACACACCUUCCCCUCAAAGAAAACAAAGAAAUUGCAUUUCGAGCACCACAACAUCUCCUUAAGGAAUACAAAUUUGAAUUACUUUAAAAGCCAGGAAUUUUACACUUGUGUCUAGAAGGAACAGGACACAUUCUGGCUGUAUCUUGGGCCUUCUUCCUGU
rnacentral:lncRNA from 1 species